rnacentral:rRNA from 1 species
GACGAACGCUGGCGGCGUGGAUUAGGCAUGCAAGUCGAGCGGUAUCAUCCUUUCGGGGGUGAGAGAGUGGCGAACUGGUGAGUAACACGUAGGUUAUCUACCCUCAAGACGGGGACAACCCAGGGAAACUUGGGCUAAUACCGGAUGUGAGCAACUUUUAGUUGUUUGAAAGGUGGCGUAAGCUGUCGCUUGGGGAUGAGCCUGCGUCCUAUUAGUUAGUUGGUGAGGUAACGGCUCACCUAGGCAAUGAUAGGUAGGCGGCCUUAACGGGUGGUCGCCCACACUGGGAUUGAGAUACGGCCCAGACUCCUACGGGAGGCAGCAGUCGAGAAUAGUCUACAAUGGUCGGAAGACUGAUAGUGCGACGCCGCGUGAACGAUGAAUCCCUUCGGGGUGUAAAGUUCUUUUAUAUGUGAGCAGUGCUUCUUAUAUUAACAGUAUGGGGAGAGAGAUAUUAGCAUAUGAAUAAGCAACGGCUAACUCCGUGCCAGCAGCCGCGGUAAACU